AACGAACGCUGGCGGCAUGCCUAACACAUGCAAGUCGAACGAAGCCUUCGGGCUUAGUGGCGCACGGGUGCGUAACGCGUGGGAAUCUGCCCUUAGGUACGGAAUAACUCAGGGAAACUUGUGCUAAUACCGUAUGAUGUCGAGAGACCAAAGAUUUAUCGCCUAGGGAUGAGCCCGCGUAGGAUUAGCUAGUUGGUGGGGUAAAGGCCUACCAAGGCGACGAUCCUUAGCUGGUCUGAGAGGAUGAUCAGCCACACUGGGACUGAGACACGGCCCAGACUCCUCCGGGAGGCAGCAGUGGGGAAUAUUGGACAAUGGGCGAAAGCCUGAUCCAGCAAUGCCGCGUGAGUGAAGAAGGCCUCGGUUGUAAGACUCUUUACCC
rnacentral:rRNA from 1 species